rnacentral:lncRNA from 1 species
AGGCCAUAUUUAUCUGUUCAGUAUUAUUUGGAUAUGAUUUUUGAUUCCCCUCUGACUUCUAAAAAACAUAUUUCCUGUUUUUCUUUUUGAAUCAUUUCCACUUUUCUAUUUUUGUCUUUAUCUUUCUUGAUCAGCAGUAUAGAGAGGACUUCCUCGGGCCUGCUCACUUUCACCGCAAGCAGCUGGACUCGUUUAACAUAAAUAGCUCGAUAUUCCCUCUGGCAAGGACACAAACUGAGGGCACUCCAUGAAGGGCCAAAGGAAUAAUCACCUCACCUUCUAUUCCUCUUGCUUUGAAAAGGGGAGAAUUGCUAUUGAGCCCUCCUGUUGUCAUGUCUUCUAUGCAAAACCUAUUGAGCUGUGAGAAUUUCAAGAGCAAAGACAGAACCAGAGGUGGAAUUCUUGAAGAGUGCACAAUUAAGGUGCAAAUUCUUAUAGUUAAUGCUUUUGCCUUGGUAGAUGUGAAAUCUAGGCAGUUUUCUAAAAAUCUAAACAGUUUACGUAUUUGAAACCCUCAUUGAUAGAUCUUAAUGUUCUUAUUUAUUACA